GGACUGCAUUCAGCUCACAUCUGCUCCAUAUCUGCUUGCGCAUCUGGCACGUUUCUUGCGGUGACUCCAGGGACAGUUUGAACUGAAGGAACGACUCUUCUUGACUAUUAAAAGACACGGGGCGUGCUUAUGAAAAAGAUGGAAAACGGGAGAUGGGUUAUGGAUGAACGGACAGAAAAGAGGAGCUUUUGUAAGCCAGUGCUCAAACCAUCCACCUUCUGGUCAUGAGUCCUGAGCUGAAAGCACAAGACCACACCACAUAUCCGAGCCCAUUUUCGGGAUGACCUUUUAAAUGCACUUUUAAAUGUGCUUUGUGAUCAGCAGCUGUCAUUACCAGAAUGGUAAUAGCAUUCCCUUGUGGAAAAGACAUUGCUGUCAUAAUGGAUUUAAAAUGUCUCAUUAUGAUAGAAGAGGACUAAACAAACAUAUUGUCUGUUGUUACUAUUGGUGAUACAGAGGAGGGGAGGGGCGUCAUAUUGCCUCCAACAGUGAUGAUGAUUUUGGGGGCUAUAUUUAGAUUCUCACAGUUGGAACUCCCUGCAUGCAAAGUCACCAGUGUCAUGCUUUUAAGGAGAAUCCAAAUACAAAAUAAAGGAAU